CAGUCUGCAGCCAGGAGGGCGGGCACGUCCUGCGCGAACUGUCAGACCACCACUACCACCCUGUGGAGGAGAAAUGCCAACGGCGAUCCCGUCUGUAACGCCUGCGGGCUCUACUACAAGCUGCACAAUAUUAACAGACCCCUGACUAUGAAGAAAGAAGGAAUUCAGACCAGAAACCGAAAAAUGUCUAGCAAAUCCAAAAAGUGCAAAAAGGUCCAUGACAACCUUGAAGACUUUCCCAAGAGCAGCUCCUUUAACCCCGCCGCCCUCUCCAGACACAUGUCCUCCAUCAGCCACAUUUCACCUUUCAGUCACUCCAGCCACAUGCUGACUACACCGACACCGAUGCAUCCUCCAUCCAGCCUCUCCUUUGGACCUCACCAUCCUUCCAGUAUGGUCACUGCCAUGGGUUAGCAAGAGACUCCCCUGCUGAAUGCUUACGGUCUCAAAAUGAGAUUUACUUUAUAUACUUGCAUUUUUGCAGGCGUGUGGUUAUGGGUCUGACGUCCCGAAUCAAAUGGGAGGGGGAAAAA